GUCGUGAGACAGUUUGGUCCCUAUCUGCCGUGGGCGUUGGAUAUUUGAAGGGGGCUGCUCCUAGUACGAGAGGACCGGAGUGGACGAACCUCUGGUGUACCGGUUGUCACGCCAGUGGCAUCGCCGGGUAGCUAUGUUCGGAAGAGAUAACCGCUGAAAGCAUCUAAGCGGGAAACUCGCCUUAAGAUGAGAUAUCCCUGGGGACUAGAUCCCCUUGAAGGGUCGUUCGAGACCAGGACGUUGAUAGGUCGGGUGUGUAAGCGCAGUAAUGCGUUCAGCUAACCGAUACUAAUUGCCCGUAAGGCUUGAUCCUAUAACA
rnacentral:rRNA from 1 species